GAUGAAGAACGUAGCGAAAUGCGAUAAGUAAUGUGAUUUGCAGAAUUCAGUGAAUCAUCGAAUCUUUGAACGCACAUUGCGCCCGCCUGUAUUCUGGCGGGCAUGCCUGUUCGAGCGUCAUUUCAACCAUCAAGCCCCCGGCUUGUGUUGGGGACCUGCGGCUGCCGCAGGCCCUGAAAACCAGUGGCGGGCUCGCUAGUCACUCCGAGCGUAGUAAUACAUCUCGCUCAGGGCGUGCUGCGGGUUCCGGCCGUUAAAAAAGCCUUAUUUACCCAAGGUUGACCUCGGAUCAGGUAGGAAGACCCGCUGAACUUAAGCAUAUCAAUAAGCGGAGGA
rnacentral:misc_RNA from 1 species